ACAAUGGGGGCAACCCUGAUCCAGCCAUGCCGCGUGUGUGAAGAAGGCCUUCGGGUUGUAAAGCACUUUCGGACGGAACGAAAUCGCGCGGGUGAACAUCCCGCGUGGAUGACGGUACCGUAAGAAGAAGCACCGGCUAACUACGUGCCAGCAGCCGCGGUAAUACGUAGGGUGCGAGCGUUAAUCGGAAUUACUGGGCAUAAAGCGCGCGUAGGUGGUCGUGUAAGCGGGAGAUGAAAGCCCAUGGCUCACCCAUGGAACUGUCCCCCGGACUGCACGGCUCGAGGAAGGAAGGGGAGAAUGGAAUUCCCGGUGUAGCGGUGAAAUGCGUAGAUAUCGGGAGGAACGCCGGUGGCGAAAGCGAUUCUCUGGUCCUCUCCUGACACUGAUGCGCGAGAGCUAGGGGAGCAAACAGGAUUAGAUACCCUGGUAGUCCUAGCUGUAAACGAUGGGCACUAGGUAGAGGGGGUGUCGAUACCCUCUCUGUCGUAGCAAAUGUGUUAAGUGCCCCGCCUGGGGAGUACGGUCGCAAGGCUGAAACUUAAAGGAAUUGACGGACUCCUACGGGAGGCAGCAGAAACUUAAAGGAAUUGACG
rnacentral:rRNA from 1 species